rnacentral:lncRNA from 12 species
AUUACAUACAUCUUACUUAUAAUAAUCUACUACAGUUUAUAAGUUACUAGCCACAGCAGGUUGUGGGGUUUGUUUGUUUGUUUGUUUGUUUGAGAUAGAAAAAUAAAUUAAAGUCCCCAGAACCUGUAGUAUGUCUUACAGUCCAAGAUGAGAAGCCAUGAAAACAGGGGCAGGAAAGGAUUUCUGUGGUCUCGUGUGUGUGUGUGUGUGUGUGUGUGUGUGUGUGUGUGUUUUCUUCUCCACUUCUGCAGAGAGCAUAGCUAAGGAAUAGGACACUGUGAUAGUCAACCAAUAGCUAUUUACUGAUAUGUACUUUGUACAAGGCUAUACCCAAGGGCUACGCAAAAGUUCAAGGUAGCACCCUUUCAGAAAGCUGAGUAUCCAUCUGAAAAUCAGGCUAACAGCACAAGACAGAAUGUGCUAAUUUUCAAAGGAACAUCAGACAGUAGGAGCUGUUGGAGAUGGAGGGGACAAAGAUGUAUGCCUGGCCUGGGCAAACAGUUCUCAGGAUGAAAACAAGAAGCCAAGAGAGGAAACAAUUUCCAAAAGUCUUUCCUCACAGACAAGAAAUGAACUAAGCGAAACACCAAGAGGAUUGGGGCCAGCCCUGCGAGGAGAAACUUCAUGCACUAAAUCGAGCUGCUGUUCUUUGCCAGAUGCUCAGCUAGGCUCCGAAGACACAGCGAUGAAUGAAGCAGACAGGGUGCAAGGCCUCGUGGGACCAAUACGCCAUUGAGGAAGGCAGAUACUAAACAAAUGGAGGACAAGUUUAGGAAGCUGUAAGAGGCUAUCACAGGGGGUCCGAGGACUGUGUCUGAGGAAGUGGCUCCAGGCUGAGAUCUGAAGGACCAGAGAGCAUUAGUCAAAUGACAAGGGGCUGCCAUUGCGAAGACCCUACUCCUUCAUUUAUUCUCCAACUUCACUGCUGGAAACACUCCUUUAAUUAUUUUGACAACCUUUACUCACAGUGACUCCGGUCGUCUAGUAAUUCUCUGAAGGCUGAACAGUCUGUGCAGAUAAGGUGAGUCUGCAAAUAUUUUUUCUCUUCAUGCUACAGAGGCAUCUUCCAGACCCCAAGAUGUAGGUCAGCUGGCACGUCCUGAGUGUUUGCAGAUGCUGUGAAGAGGCUUUUCAUAUGGUUUGGUUUGCAGUUAACCUUGGACAGUGUUCACAUGAAGCUACCAGUGACCUUUAAGCUGUCAAAUAUAGUGUCUUUG